GACGAACGCUGGCGGCGUGCUUAACACAUGCAAGUCGAACGCUGAAGCUUGGUGCUUGCACUGGGUGGAUGAGUGGCGAACGGGUGAGUAAUACGUGAGUAACCUGCCCUUGACUCUGGGAUAAGCCUGGGAAACUGGGUCUAAUACUGGAUACGACAUGUCACCGCAUGGUGGUGUGUGGAAAGGGUUUUACUGGUUUUGGAUGGGCUCACGGCCUAUCAGCUUGUUGGUGGGGUAAUGGCUCACCAAGGCGACGACGGGUAGCCGGCCUGAGAGGGUGACCGGCCACACUGGGACUGAGACACGGCCCAGACUCCUACGGGAGGCAGCAGUGGGGAAUAUUGCACAAUGGGCGGAAGCCUGAUGCAGCGACGCCGCGUGAGGGAUGACGGCCUUCGGGGUGUAAACCUCUUUCAGCACGGAAGAAGCGAAAGUGACGGUACGUGCAGAAGAAGCGCCGGCUAACUACGUG
rnacentral:rRNA from 1 species